rnacentral:rRNA from 1 species
UACGAAGGGUGCUAGCGUUGCUCGGAAUCACUGGGCGUAAAGGGCGCGUAGGCGGCGUUUUAAGUCGGUGGUGAAAGCCUGUGGCUCAACCACAGAAUGGCCUUCGAUACUGGGACGCUUGAGUAUGGUAGAGGUUGGUGGAACUGCGAGUGUAGAGGUGAAAUUCGUAGAUAUUCGCAAGAACACCGGUGGCGAAGGCGGCCAACUGGACCAUUACUGACGCUGAGGCGCGAAAGCGUGGGGAGCAAACAGG